AGGGAAACCCCUUGGAAAAGGGUUAAUAGAAUUGUCUUGUGCCAGGAUGCCUAGAUGGGGGACCUCUGAGGGGCAGCCUCUUCUCCCUUGAAGAGGAAACCUGUGGCCAGAACAUCACUUCAAAUGCAAAGAUCUGUUUUUAUGAUGCACCAAGACGCAUGCAUCUCCAGGCUUGUGGAGAGACUUAUUCAGGCAAUGAAUGGGGGUGAUAGCAUUGCUUCAAAAGGUAACAGCUCAGACAGCAUCGGUAAACUGGGUCCCAGAUGCCACUAUUUUUGGAACAUCUACUAGAGUAAUCUCACCAACAAAAUUUAAAAUAUUAUUGCUGCUUCUCUCAGGAGUUUAGUUAACAGCUUGCUGCAAAAUGAAAAUCAAUUGACAAUCACAAUGCUAUGAUACAGAACCUAUUAUGUACCUACAUUAAUCUGGAUAUCUGGAGUGUCCAGACUGAAUAUAGUCCCAGACCAUAAAGGACAAAAUUCCUUUUGCCAUUGUGCAAUUGACUUUUGCUGGUAUCUCCUUGUCGUACCAUUGCAACAGAUCAUCUAUUCAACUCUCCACAGCAAUCCAGAUGAUGGGACUUCAUUUCCACAGCAGAUCUAAUUAAGGAUUAUAAAUGCAAUUUGAAAAGAAGUGGUGCUGUCUCUUUUCAUAUGAAAGUCAGUUUUUGCAUAUCUGGAUUGUCUCCUAGAGGCUAAUGGCUAUGCCUGAUAACAUUCACAGAGGUGCCCAGUCUCUUACAUUCCCAGCUCCUGUGCUGAUGAAGAAACACUUUGUAUUGCUAUAGGCCCAUGCAUUCCAAGGAAUUAAAAACCGUGGUACCCAAAAUGAAAAGACUGGCAACCACAAUACUUUGCUUAGGUAGACCUCCAUGAGGGGAAGGGUCAGUACAGAAAAGUCAAUGCAGAGAGAUCUGAAGAGAUAACAGAACAAGGGAAGGGAAUACUACUUAGAUCUUACAGCUGAACUGUCGUCUACAAUAGCCACAGACACAAUGAACUCUCCUUUCCUCAGGUCAGAAAAGGGAAAAACAGAUGGCCAGGAUUAUGGUACCUCCCUAAUUGAAUAUAUUGGAUGGGUGGGGGAGGAAUCAAAUGGUCAGAUUGGAGCUGUUGAGGGUAACUAAUAGUGAAGGUGAUCUCCAUUAAAAGACUGUCAAGGGACGUGUGUGUGGUGAGGGGGGAGGGAUGGUGGAAUUCUCCAUCUCCUGAUACCUUCCAGAAAGGCAGGCAGUCUUGAUGUGAAGACAUGCUUUAGCCAAAUAACUGGGUGAAAUGUAAUGGCCUUUGAUAUAGCAAGGUCAGACUAGAUCUAAUAGACACCAGAAGAGACAAACAGAUUUUUAUCUGACAGAUGGGUUCUUGUUGUAACAAAGGACAAAAAAGCUAGUUCACCAUUAAAGUAAUGAGAAUGAAAAUAAGGCUGUCUACACCACACAGCUUUUAGCAACAUGGCUAUGUUGCAACAGUCAUGCUGCUAAGUCAGGCAGUUAGCUGCUGUUCAUUGGCUGUUGUGCUAACAAACUUCCACCCCCAACAAGCAGUAUUUGCAUUGUCAGCAGGAGAGCGCUCCUACCAACAAGGUGCUGUUCACACUGGCACUUGUUUCGGCAAAACUCUUGUCUUGUCCUUAACACCUCUGAAAGACACAAAUUUUGUUUAAAGUGCCAGUGUAGACAUAGCCUGCUCUUAACCACCUCUUGGG